GAUGAACGCUGGCGGCGUGCCUAAUACAUGCAAGUCGAGCGAACAGACGAGGAGCUUGCUCCUCUGACGUUAGCGGCGGACGGGUGAGUAACACGUGGAUAACCUCCCUAUAAGACUGGGAUAACUUCGGGAAACCGGAGCUAAUACCGGAUAAUAUAUUGAACCGCAUGGUUCAAUAGUGAAAGACGGUUUUGCUGUCACUUAUAGAUGGAUCCGCGCCGCAUUAGCUAGUUGUUAAGGUAACGGCUUACCAAGGCAACGAUGCGUAGACGACCUGAGAGGGUGAUCGCCCACACUGGAACUGAGACACGGUCCAGACUCCUACGGGAGGCAGCAGUAGGGAAUCUUCCGCAAUGGGCGAAAGCCUGACGGAGCAACGCCGCGUGAGUGAUGAAGGUCGUCGGAUCGUAAAACUCUGUUAUUAGGGAAGAACAAAUGUGUAAGUAACUAUGCACGUCUUGACGGUACCUAAUCAGAAAGCCACGGCUAACUACGUG
rnacentral:rRNA from 1 species